AGGUGAAAGUCUUGCUUGCCUUUGCUCUAGAUUGACAAUGAGCAAUGGUAUAAAAACAAGUAAUAUAUGCGUACACGGUUUUUGUACCUAAAUUAUGUUUGCUUUAGUACGCAAGAGUCAUUCACUUCAAUCUAAACAGUAUAAAGAUAAACUUCAAAAAACAAAUUAAGUAGAGGUAGUUUUAACAGUGAUCCCACUAUCAUCUCUGUAAAAUUAUAUAUAAAUACUGUUGCUGGCGUUAUUUGUACACGAUUUCUCCAAGUCAUUUUUAUAACUGGAUGUUCGGAUCAGAUUACUCGCAGUUCGACUGAUUUUGAAGUCCUAAAAUAUACGAGCUCGCAAAUGCAAUCUCAUGGAGGACAAACAUAAGCUCUUUGCAAAAUUCUGCAUUGCAUAAAUAUUAUUGCAAGUUUUUUUUUAAUGAAAUUGAAAGUUGAAAGCUGGAAAAUGAUCCUUAUUCCUUAAUAUGGAGGACAUAAUUGACAUCGCCCUAACCUCACAAAUAUAUGGAGGACAUAAUUAACAUCGCCCCAACCUCACAAAUAGUACAAACUGAUUUCAAACCUAACAUAUUCACAAGACAUCGGAUCCCAACAAGGGAAAAAUAACUAAUAAAUGAAACAUAGGCUGAGAUCGAAGCCAAAGACUCUUUCAGAAUGACAAGAACUUGAGCCAAGGAAGUCCACCCUUGUUGGCCUUCUCAGCUUCUUCAGAACAGGACACGGUCGUCGCCGCAGUCACGCCGUCGCCACCUCCACCACUUGCGGCGGCGGGCGAGGGCUUUUUCGGGCACAGGAAAAAGUUCCUUGACCCAAGCGCCGUCAGCUGCUCCUCCCGAUCUAAACCUGAUCCACAAUAAAAACACGCCGUCAAUCUUGACCGUUCUAAACCUCUCGAGCAACUUUUUUUAACGGCUGAUUUUUUUUAAACCGAUAUUCAACCGGUAUCGUGAACACCAUUUUCCACUGAAAUCGGUGUUCAUUUGAACGUAGUCGAUCAUAGUUGGAAAUGUUGUGUGGGAAUUAUAUUUUCAAGAAAAGUCGAACAAUGAAUAUAAAUUUUAUUUUUUGGUACGUGGUCGCUUGACGAGGAUUUUUACAGAAAUUAUAAACGUCUUCAUACUGAUGAAAAUUUUACUCCACAGGAAUUUGUAUAAAGGGUGCUGAAUUGAUUUAUUCCUUGUGUGUAACAUUUUCUGACAAAAAUAAACAAAGAAAUAUUCUUUUCCCAAUAUGAGAGGAAAAAUAGUAAAGAAUCAUCUUUUUCUGGGAAAAUGAUUUUCACAUUUUCUUUUUUCAUAAAUGCACUCCACUUUUUCUCUAGUAGUGGAAAAUCACACAUUAAAAUUUCACUAAAUAAAAAAACGAGUGAAUUUAUUAUAAAAAAAAGAAGAAGAAGAGAAAAUCACUACUCCACCUUUUUCUAUACCAGAAGUUAAAGAACACUAUUUACUCUCCGUUCCAAAUUCCCCAAACUUUUUUGGGUAACCGUCCGUUUUGCAAGCAAAAAACAAAUUUAUGAGAUUUUAUUUUGAAUAAACUUUAGACUAACUUUUUCUUCCCAAUGAAAUCUUUAAAUUGGUGUAAUAAUGAAAAAUAUCGUGCUAAUACAUUAUUUUUUGUGCACAAAAAGAUCGAGCAGAGGGAGUAUUUUGCAAGAAAAGUUUUUCAAUAAAAAAAAAAAGCUUUGAUUGUUGAUCCAAUAAUUUUCUUUGACAACGGGAAAUUUAAUUUUUCAUGAUUUCUCUUCCUUUCCGUAAAACUGAACAGGCCGAUAAGAGAGUUAAAAGAGAAAGGGCGCUUACUUUCUAAGCUAAAUUGGGAAUAAUGGAGAUCAAAUCCAGACGGAUCCGUAGCCGGCAAGAUCGGCCGCCGUCCUUCCUUCACAUACUGCCGUAGCGCGGCCGCGAUCAAAUCACCAACAGCAGAUUCCGGCGACAUCACCACCUGCACGGCACCGAGGCUCCUCUGAAUCGUCACGUUGAGCAGCAACUUCGUCAGCCUCGGCCGCUGCUCCUCCGUCGCCGCCACACCGC